rnacentral:lncRNA from 1 species
UUUUUUUUUUUUUUUUUUUGAUAUGUUGUCUUCUUAACUAAGAUUCAGGUUCUCCAGAGGCAGAGCACACUGCAUUUCCUCUCCUGCUGUAGCCUCUACAGUAUAUAGCCUAGAGUUCAGCAUUUAAGAGGAGUUCAGAGCCACCAAAUUCUUUCAUCCUUUCAAUGGCAUGCUUUCAAGUUACUAUUAGAAGUAAGGUUUCUGGGAUACAGAGAUACAAUUAAUACAUGGUCCCUACACAAAAGAAACCCAAACAGCAGAGUUUAGAAAAACUGACUUGUAAUAAUAGAAUUUAUUAUACUGUUAUGAGUGUUUGCCUACCAAUAUACCACAGUUAUGGGUGAUGGAAGUUCAAAUAAGCAAACUUGGGCAGCCCGGGUGGCUUGGCGGUUUGGCGCCGCCUUCGGCCCAGGGCCUGAUCCUGGAGACCCGGGAUCAAGUACCAUAUCGGGCUCCCUGCAUGGAGCCUGCUUCUCCCUCUGCCCGUGUCUCUGCCUCUCUCUCUGAGUGAAUAAAUAAAAUAUUUAAAAAAAAAACAAAUAAGCGAACUGUACAUUUGUAACUGGUGAGGUGUAUUAAGGAAGAUUUGACAAGACCCUUUGGACCUGGGACUCAAAGGAUGAUUAGCAUUUUAACAGGUGGAGAGUGAAUACCUAAAAACACAGAUAAGUAGAACACUUCACUCAAUGACCAUGGAAUACACAUUCUUCUAAAGUGCACAUUAAGCAUUCUCAAGGACAGACCAUGUUAGACCAUAAAACAAGUCUCAAGAAAUUUAAAAGAAACCAGAUAUAGUCCCAUCAUGAAACAAGUAUUAGCUGUCUUAUCUUGCACUUCAACACAGGGAAGGACUGACUGCUGACCUGCUUGUGAUACAAACCUCUCUGCCAAUAGGAGGAUAGAUUAAGGACAUGUUGGUAAGCACUUUACAGAAAGGGCACACUUACCUAUAACACAGGGGCACUUACAAUAUCACCUUAUUAACUGUGUACUCAUUAUUAGUGCCAGUCACUUAUGUCAACUUAGCCCAACUUCCAGAAGUUACUGACAUUAUGCCUCCCCUCCCCCAAGUAAAGGAAGAGGUAGGUUUACCUCCAAAGGACACACGGUAUACUGAUGGUAGUUACUAGGGAAACCUGCCUAUUUGGCACUCCUCUGCCAUCCAACUAGAUUCUAAUGUACUUUGGUUUGAAGAAGGAACUAAACAAAGUAGUCAGUGGGCAGAAUUGUGUGUUAUGGAUUGUGUUGACACAUGAACCCCUGCCCACCGAUCUGGCUACUGACAGCUGGGCAGUUUGGAAAGGGUUGACAACAUGGAUGCUGUAAUGGCACAAAGGAAGCUGCACUACAUUAAAUAGAGCCCUGUGGGGAGCAGACCUAUGGAAAGAUAUUUGGGGUAUAUGUGCUAAACCCGAUGCAGCUAAGUACGGUAUGUGUCCACUCAUUCCCUACCCACAGUGCCAGGCAAUCAUGAAGCAGAUGUGUUAGCUGGGGCGAGAGUCCUUCUGCUAGAGGAAAAAUUGUCUCUGUCUGAUGCAGUAGGAUGGGUCCACUGUAAAUCAGGGAAAUGAGGUCCUCAAACUACUUGGGAAAUAGUAAAAAGAUUACAUUUGCCUGUAAAAUAUUCUGACUUAUGAGCUGUUGACAAACUGCCCCCAAUACUACCUCAGGCAAGGGCUGUUGUGCCAAUACCCUUGGGCAUACUGGGCAGAUUACAUGCCCUGUUUAUCACUGGCAAAUAGAUUACAUAGGUUGUUUGCUGGUAUGGGAAAGGCACAAAUUAUCAGUAUCAAUCUGGAGGAUAUUUUACUCUUUCUCCCCCACCCUCUAACACAUGAGAAAACAUGCAAUAAACUAGAUAGACAUUUUCCCACCAAAAUACCAAAUGACCAAUGAACACACGACAAGAAACUCAACAUUAUUAGCUAUCAGGGAAAUGCAAAUCAAAACCACAAUGAGAUACCACUUCACAACCACUGGGAUAGUUAUAACCAAAAGAUGGACAAUAACAUGUGGGUACAGAUGGAGAGAAACUGAACCCUCAUGCAUUGCUUCUGGGAACGUAAAAUGAUGCAACUACUUUAGAAAACAAUUUGGCAUUUCCUUAAAAAGUUAAACAUACCAUAUGAUUCACCUGGGCAAAUGCCCCCCAAAUUGAAAUCGUAUGUCCUCGGGCAGCCCGGGUGGCUCAGCAGGUUAGCACUGCCUUCAGCCCAGGGCCUGGUCCUGGAGAGCCGGGAUCGAGUCCCACAUUGGGCUUCCUGCAUGGAGCCUGCUUUUCCCUCUGCCUGUGUCUCUGCCUCUCUCUCUCUCUGUGUCUCUCAUGAAUAAAUAAAGAAAACCUCUAAAAAAAAAAAAAAGGAAUCAUAUGUCCUGAGGAAAAACAUGUACAUAAGUGUUCUCAACAACUUUAUUCAUAAUAGCCAAAAAGAAGAAACAAUCCAAAUGUUCAUCAACUGAUGAAUGGAUAAACAAAAAUGUGGAAUAUCCAUGCAGUAAAAUAUUUAGCCAUUAAAAAGUAACGAAAUACCUAUUCAUGCUACAGCACGUAUGAACCUUGAAAUCAUUGUGCUAAGUGAAAGAAAGCAGAUACAAAAUUCCACAUGUCAUAUGAUUCCAUUUUUAUGAAAUGUCCAGAACAGGCAAAUCUAUAGAGAAAGAAAACAGACUGGUUACUGGAGGGGUCUGGGGUAGAGAGGGUAACAGAGAGUGACAGAGAAGGUCACCUGUAUUUGCCAUGAUGAAAUGUUCUGGAAUCAGGUAUCAGUGAUGUGGUGAUAGUUGUACAACUUUCUGAAUAUAUGAAAAACCACAAAACCGUAAACUUUAAAGGGGUAAAUUUUACAGUAUGUGAAUUACAUCUCAAAGUUCUAAAACUCAAAUAAGUAACAACAUCAGAAUUAGUGUGAUAUACUUAGUAUAGAACAAAGUGGGACUAAUCACUUUUAUUUGAUUGUUUGCUGUGAUAAUAAGGGAGAAAAGCAAAACACAAAAUUCAAUAGAUUUCAGUAAUUCAUUCCACAAAAGCUAAUGGAGCUCUUGCCAUCCUAUGCAAACUAAGGGUCUUAGAAGCUAAUGGAGAGGCUUAGAAGAGGACACAGUGGGGAUGCCUGGGUGGCAGAGCGGCUGAGCAUCUGCCUUUGGCUCAGGGCCUGAUCCCAGAUUCCAGGGACCGAGUCCUGCAUGGGGCUCCUUGCAUGGAGCCUGCUUCUCCUCCCUCUGCCUGUGUCUCUGCCUCUCUCUCUCUCAUGUGUGUUUCUCAGGAAUAAUAAAUAAAAUCUUUAAAAAAAAGAAGAAGAAGGAGGGAGGAGGGAGGAGGGGGGAGAAGAAGAAGAAGAAAAGAAGAAGAAGAAGUAGAAGAAGAAGAAGAAGAAGGAGGAGAAGGAGGAGAAGAAGGAGAAAAGGAGAAGAAGGAAGAAGAAGGAAGAAGAAGGAAGAAGGAAGAAGAAGAAGACGACGACACAGUGUACUGGGAGCCCAAGCAUGGUUGGUUCUGCUUGUCUACCCAAGCAUAGCUUAUCAGAGCAGGCCACGAGCUUCUGGUCCUGGGAGCUGCAGACAGGCCUCCCUGGAAAGGGAAUGACUGGUGAGAUAAAGGCUAACAAGCUACCCAGGAGAGAGACACUUGAAUAAUUUAUAGAAUGAAAUCACACUUUGAUCUCCCAGACAAGUGAGAGCAGUUGUGCAUCCUUUUGCCUGGGGCCCCAGACCGAGGGAAGGACUGGGUCAGAUUACUCGGUCUCCUGCCUAAUUUUAUUGCAAGUUCUUCCACGCAACGGGACAGGAGAAGGUAGUACGUUAAGAAGUAGGAAGACAUGAGUCAUGAGUCAUGCAAUAGAUUUUAUCAGAGAUUAAUAAAAUGAGGGGAAGAGGGAUAACUAUUAAAAAGUACAAUCUGAGUGAGAAGAGGUGGCCCCAUUUUAGUAAAGUGAUGAAGAUUAGAGUCACAGACUGGCCCGUAUGAGGCCUGAUGGAAUAAUGGGGCCUAGUUUGGUACCAAGUGAUAGGAGAGGGGACAGUUUCAAACACAACAGCAGAGUGAGCACGAUGGCUGACUCAUGUCAUAGGAAUAGCAAUACAGAGGAUAGAGGGUCAAGACCACAGGGAUGGGAAGAGACCAAAGUUUGGGACAUGGUGGAUACAGCAAGAUUUUAGCCUUCAUGAUGGGUGCAGACUGGAACAACUAUUGUUAAUUAUCAUUUUUAUCAUUAGCUGUGCCUCCCUGACUCUUUUCCUCUAUGAGUCUGUGGGCUUGGGGAACUGAGGUUACACAGAACACAAAAAUGCUAGAAAUGUCCCCAAGACAAUACAAAGUGCUGGGGAAAGGUAGUGUGUUUCAAAGAGGAAGAGGUAGCAUCAGUGUGGAGAUUGGGAAAGAUUUUACUCACAAAGGCAGUGGCAUAAGAACUUGAAAGGAUGUGAAAUAUUUAAAAAACUGUUUCCUGAUCACAAUAUUAAUUUAUUUUGAGAAAUACAGAAAAAUACAAAGAAAAAAUGAAAAUCACAAAUUAUUCUACAACUCAGAUAAAAUGACCAUUAAUAUUUGAGGUGCAUAUCUUUCCUCAUUUAUUUACAUCUAUAUAUCUACUUACAUUUGCAUCUAUAUAUCUAUAAAUAUCUAUAUCUAUAUAUAUAGACAUGUAGAUAUUAAAACAUGUUUGUGUACAUAUGUGUGUGUAUAUACACAAAUGCAUACUUUAUAUGUCAAAAAACACUUGCAAUCAAUAAGGAUUCUGACUAGGAAACAGAAGAUGAAACAGAAUAAGCAUAGGCAGGGGAAAAGAGCAUUGGAAAGCAAUGCAACAUUCCAGAAAGAGCAGGAGAUAAAUAAGACUGGGUUUAAAUCCUGCCUCUGCUUCUGUGGAAACUCAAGCAAGUUAUUUAAUUAUGUUGAUCCUCAGGUUCCUCAUGUGUAAAAUGGGUAUAACAAUAUUUAUGUGAUAGGGCCGCUUUAAUGAUCAGAACCAUGAAUGUGUCUGGUGCAUAGCAGUGUGCCUAGAGAACAGUAGGCACUGAGCAUGUGUCAGGGUAGAGCGGGCUAUUUGGGCAGCUGCGUGUGGCUCUGAUUGCUUUUGGUGGGAGAUAAUU